AUUGAACGCUGGCGGCAUGCUUUACACACGCAAGUCGAACGGUAACAGGCCGCAAGGUGCUGACGAGUGGCGAACGGGUGAGUAAUGCAUCGGAACGUGCCCAGUCGUGGGGGAUAACGCAGCGAAAGCUGUGCUAAUACCGCAUACGAUCUAUGGAUGAAAGCGGGGGACUGUAAGGCCUCGCGCGAUUGGAGCGGCCGAUGUCAGAUUAGGUAGUUGGUGGGGUAAAGGCCUAACAAGCCGACGAUCUGUAGCUGGUCUGAGAGGACGACCAGCCACACGGGGACGGAGACACGGCCCAGACUCCUACGGGAGGCAGCAGUGGGGAAUUUUGGACAAUGGGCGCAAGCCUGAUCCAGCAAUGCCGCGUGCAGGAAGAAGGCCUUCGGGUUGUAAACUGCUUUUGUACGGAACGAAACGGUCUGGGUUAAUACCCUGGGCUAAUGACGGUACCGUAAGAAUAAGCACCGGCUAACUACGUGCCAGCAGCCGCCGUAACAC
rnacentral:rRNA from 1 species